CGGCAUGCUUUACACAUGCAAGUCGAACGGUAACAGGCCUUCGGGUGCUGACGAGUGGCGAACGGGUGAGUAAUGCAUCGGAACGUGCCCAGUCGUGGGGGAUAACGUAGCGAAAGCUACGCUAAUACCGCAUAAUCUCUGAGGAGAAAAGUGGGGGAUCGAAAGACCUCAUGCUUUUGGAGCGGCCGAUGUCUGAUUAGCUAGUUGGUGGGGUAAUGGCCUACCAAGGCGACGAUCAGUAGUUGGUCUGAGAGGAUGGCCAGCCACACUGGGACUGAGACACGGCCCANACUUCUACGGGAGGCAGCAGUGGGGAAUUUUGGACAAUGGGCGAAAGCCUGAUCCAGCAAUGCCGCGUGAGUGAAGAAGGCCUUCGGGUUGUAAAGCUCUUUCAGUUGAGAAGAAAAAAUUGUGACUAAUACUUGCAAUUCAUGACAGUAUCAACAGAAGAAGCACCGGCUAACUACGUGCCAGCAGCCGCGGUAAUACGUAGGGUGCAAGCGUUAAUCGGAAUUAUU
rnacentral:rRNA from 1 species